rnacentral:tRNA from 1 species
GGAGGAUUCGCCUAGUGGCCUAUGGCGCACGCUUGGAAAGCGUGUUGGGGUACUCCCCCUCGCGGGUUCGAAUCCCGCAUCCUCCG